rnacentral:rRNA from 1 species
GAUGAACGCUGGCGGCGUGCCUAAUACAUGCAAGUCGAGCGAACGGACGAGAAGCUUGCUUCUCUGAUGUUAGCGGCGGACGGGUGAGUAACACGUGGAUAACCUACCUAUAAGACUGGGAUAACUUCGGGAAACCGUAGCUAAUACCGGAUAAUAUUUUGAACCGCAUGGUUCAAAAGUGAAAGACGGUCUUGCUGUCACUUAUAGAUGGAUCCGCGCUGCAUUAGAUAGUUGGUAAGGUAACGGCUUACCAAGGCAACGAUGCAUAGCCGACCUGAGAGGGUGAUCGGCCACACUGGAACUGAGACACGGUCCAGACUCCUACGGGAGGCAGCAGUAGGGAAUCUUCCGCAAUGGGCGAAAGCCUGACGGAGCAACGCCGCGUGAGUGAUGAAGGUCUUCGGAUCGUAAAACUCUGUUAUUAGGGAAGAGCAUAUGUGUAAGUAACUGUGCACAUCUUGACGGUACCUAAUCAGAAAGCCACGGCUAACUACGUG